rnacentral:rRNA from 1 species
CAAUCAAACCGGGAGAUAGCUGGUUCUCCCCGAAAGCUAUUUAGGUAGCGCCUCGUGAAUUCAUCUCCGGGGGUAGAGCACUGUUUCGGCUAGGGGGCCAUCCCGGCUUACCAACCCGAUGCAAACUGCGAAUACCGGAGAAUGUUAUCACGGGAGACACACGGCGGGUGCUAACGUCCGUCGUGAAGAGGGAAACAACCCAGACCGCCAGCUAAGGUCCCAAAGUCAUGGUUAAGUGGGAAACGAUGUGGGAAGGCCCAGACAGCCAGGAUGUUGGCUUAGAAGCAGCCAUCAUUUAAAGAAAGCGUAAUAGCUCACUGGUCGAGUCGGCCUGCGCGGAAGAUGUAACGGGGCUAAACCAUGCACCGAAGCUGCGGCAGCGAACGUAUCACCCAAGACAACUUUACGGAGUUGACGAUUGACGGAGCGAAGCGACGUCAAAGCGUUCAUUAAAGUCGAGUUGGCUUAGGGAUACGUUCGUUGGGUAGGGGAGCGUUCUGUAAGCCUGUGAAGGUGUGUCGUGAGGCAUGCUGGAGGUAUCAGAAGUGCGAAUGCUGACAUAA